AAAAUGUGAAAAAUUGUAAUUGAAUUGAGAAUAUAUGUGAUUUAAAUACCCUAUUAACUAGUCGGGCUGAGUCGGAUAUAGUUGGCAUGCCAUAGGAUUGGAAGAGUUCAGGGAUACUUCGACCUCGAGUCGAUGAGACACUGGGUGUCACUAUAUUUCUUCGGAUAGAUUCGAUGAGGUACUGGGUACCAACUUUCUUCGGCUUUGCCGAUGAGACACUGGGUGUCAACUAUUGCUUCGAACUAUCCGAUGAGGCACUGGGUGCCAUUCUGGUGUGUUUGGUUGGAUCCGUGUAUCCGCCAAAGUCUGAGUUUUGUUAAUAGGGUAAAUGAUGAAAUGAUAAACCGAACGAGUUGGUCAAACGAGCUAUUGAAAUGAUAUGAAAAAGUUGAAUUGUGAAUUGAAAUGUGAAAUGAGAUUGAGAAAUGAACCUAAGGUUCGUGAAUUAUUCAAACUCAAAUUGUGGA
rnacentral:lncRNA from 1 species